rfam:Glycine soja cultivar W05 scaffold1419_25, whole genome shotgun sequence.
CAGAAAUAGGAGUUCCCUUGCAGCCCAAAACACCCUGCAUGAACUACUUCAUGUUGUUUUGGACUGAAGGGAGCUCCUUCUUCUU